UUUGCAGGCAUUAUCUCACUGUGCAUGGCUGAAGCGGUAGAUGCCAUCAUUACCCUCAUUUCACACCUGCAGAAACUGAGGUAUAGAAACAUUAACUGGUCUAGUCACGAGGGAUUCUGUGAUGCCUGAGACAUAUGACCUGCCCUCCAAGACCAUAAGUGACAGACCAAGAAUUUGAUCCCAUGUCCUGGUGGCCCCACAGCCUGUGCCAUUACCAUUAGAGCAGUGGUUUCCUCUGGGGGUUCUCUUGUCCCCAGGGGACAUUUG
rnacentral:lncRNA from 10 species